rnacentral:rRNA from 1 species
UACAGAGGUCCCAAGCGUUGUUCGGAUUCACUGGGCGUAAAGGGUGCGUAGGUGGUGGGGUAAGUCGGAUGUGAAAGCUCGGAGCUCAACUCCGAAAUGGCAUUGGAAACUACCCUGCUUGAGGGUCGGAGGGGGGACUGGAAUUCUCGGUGUAGCAGUGAAAUGCGUAGAUAUCGUAAGGAAGACCAGUGGCGAAGGCGAAUCUCUGGACAGUUACUGACACUGAGGCACGAAGGCCAGGGGAGCAAACGGG